UACGAAGGGGGCUAGCGUUGUUCGGAAUUACUGGGCGUAAAGGGCGCGUAGGCGGUGUGUCAAGUCAGGCGUGAAAGCCCCGGGCUCAACCUGGGAACCGCGCUUGAGACUGGCACGCUCGAGUUCGGGAGAGGAUGGUGGAAUUCCCAGUGUAGAGGUGAAAUUCGUAGAUAUUGGGAAGAACACCGGUGGCAAAGGCGGCGACCUGGUCCGAUACUGACGCUGAGGCGCGAAAGCGUGGGGAGCAAACAGG
rnacentral:rRNA from 1 species